rnacentral:misc_RNA from 1 species
UUUCCGUAGGUGAACCUGCGGAAGGAUCAUUAAUGAGUGGUCAUGGGGUUCGAUGCUGGCAGCCAAUUUUUGGAUGCAUGUGCUUGCCCUAACAAUCAUCUUCCAAACACCUGUGCACAUUUUUGAGGGAGUCUUGAGUUGGUUGCCGCUCUUGGGUGAUUUUCUCACAUUCCCUUAAAUCAUUAUACGCUAUUAACAAUGUUGAACGUGCUCUGUGCCGCAAGGCUAUUAAUAUAAUACAACUUUUAACAACGGAUCUCUUGGCUCUC